rnacentral:rRNA from 1 species
UACGUAGGUUGCAAGCGUUAUCCGGAAUUAUUGGGCGUAAAGGGUGCGUAGGCGGUUACGUGUGUCUAAGGUGAAAUUCCAGGGCUUAACUCUGGACUGCCUUAGAAACUGCGUGGCUAGAGUGCAGGAGAGGGCAACGGAAUUCCAUGUGUAGCGGUAAAAUGCGUAGAUAUAUGGAGGAACACCGGUGGCGAAGGCGGUUGCCUGGCCUGUAACUGACGCUGAGGCACGAAAGCGUGGGGAGCAAAUAGGAUUAGAACU